rnacentral:rRNA from 1 species
GACGUAGGGCGCGAGCGUUGUCCGGAUUUAUUGGGCGUAAAGAGCUCGUAGGCGGCUUGUCGCGUCGGCUGUGAAAACCCCAGGCUCAACCUGGGGACGCCACCCGAUACUGCUAUAGCUAGAGUCCAGUAGGGGAGUGUGGAAUUCCCAGUGUAGCGGUGAAAUGCGCAGAUAUUGGGAGGAACACCAGCGGCGAAGGCGGCACUCUGGGCUGGUACUGACGCUGAGGAGCGAAAGCGUGGGUAGCGAACAGG